rnacentral:lncRNA from 1 species
GUUUUCCAUGUUGCAAUGGUGACAUAGAUGGGAGACCACGCAUACAGAAGAUUUACGGAGGUCAGAUCUUGAGCAUACAAAGCACAUAGGUUGUGUUUUAGUGGCAAAUAUCAAGAACAUACACACAGACCAUGGGCGAAGGUUUUGUCAGAUCUGGAGCAUGUAUGAUGUGGUUACCAUGGAAACAUAUCUCUACAUCUAGGCAAUGGUAUAAAUGGAUGAGGUACAAAGUUAUACAACAGAUUUUGGAUCAUAUGGGGGUUACCAUGGAAACGUACAGUGGUGUAUAUGGAUGAACGACGUUCAGAUGUACAAAGUUAAUAGAGCAGAUUUUGGAUCAUAUCAGAUUUUCCAUAAUGGUGGCUAAUGUUGACUAUAAGCAGGUGUGACGAUAUCAUGUUGUAGAUAUCACAAUGGUCUAGUGGACGGUGCAGCAAUGGUGGCUGAUGUUGACUAUACAAGCACAUGCAAGAAUGUCAUGUUGUAGAUUUCACAAUAGUUUAGUGAAGGAUGCAGCUCGGUCCUUUGUCUCGAACGCAAUUAGAAAGCAAAAGUCGAUUAUUCUCCCGGAGUAAUUCAAGAGCGUAGGAAUGGGCAUACAGUUUCUGGCUUUGGUGAAAGUAGAAAUAGAAGUAUCGGACGAUAAACUCAAAACUAUUCGAUGAGAAAUUCAAACCAUUCGGCGAGGAACCCGAACUAUCCAACGAGGAGCAGUUUCCUAGUCCAUACACGAGGAAACUUUAAGUUGAUGGGACAACAGUUGCGGUAGGACUGCCUUGCCGGUACCAUAAAGAUGCAGACAACCAGGUGCACUGGUACUCUAUCGAUGCCGGUUACCAGAGGCACGCUGGUACCCUAUCGAUGCCAGUCGUCAGAGGUGCGCUGGAUCCAUGUCAACAUUACAGUAAUCAACUAUUUUCAACAAGAUUUAAAAAGGCAAGAAGACACUGAUUGCCAUUCUUUAAAGACAUAGAAAAAGAAUCGAAUGCAGAAAACAGAUACUAGUAUCUUCAUGCUGUCCUGUGUUUGAUGUUUCCGACAGCCGGCAGUCCAAUGCAUGCCAGAUUGAUUUCAAAGGCACAAGUGAGAAAUAUCUGCAGAAGGAGGAACCAAGUAUGAUGAAUCAACAACAGAUCUGGCACAAGCAUAUAAGCAUGACACCGUCACAGCCGCCCUGACACAAGCUUAGUUAAACAUAUGUCAGACAUGUAUAUAAUUAUACCCCCACUUACAAAGUAUAUGGGGCUAUAUUGGAGUCACGCAUGUUCGUCCGUCCGUCCAUCGUGUACGCCGGGAAUAUGAUAAAACUGGCUCAUCAAGACCAUGUGCAGAGCGUAAAACCUAGUCACUAGGCAUAAACUUAAGGUUACUGUUGGAGGUUAAAGGUCAAAUAGCUUAACUUCAUGUCGACUCCAUAUUGUCUAAACGGCGUAGAAGACAUUUAGCUCGACUUUUCGAAGAAUAAUGUAGGUUAUUGUUCUUGCCCUGGCAUCGACAUCACUGUCACCAUUGCAGUCAAGUGCCCUGGUAUCGAUGUCACUGCCACCAUUCAAAUUCAAAUUUCAGUCAAGUUCAAAUUUUAUGGCAAGCUUCUUGGUUUCACUAUCUCUUAUAUUAACACCAAACUUCACAUAAGGGUUGGUCUUGGUAAGGGGCGGACAUCUAUUAGUUUAGGGUCAGGCAUCCUAAAGGUCAAUGUCACUGAGGUCAAAUAGUGCUGCUGGUUAAAGUUUUAUGACAAGCUUUUUGACACAAAUAAUAAGCAUGUAUAGACAGUGUGUCAUGCGCAACAACCAGGUCCCUAAC